rnacentral:rRNA from 1 species
AGUGAACGCUGGCGGUAGGCCUAACACAUGCAAGUCGAACGGCAGCACAGUAAGAGCUUGCUCUUACGGGUGGCGAGUGGCGGACGGGUGAGGAAUACAUCGGAAUCUACUUUUUCGUGGGGGAUAACGUAGGGAAACUUACGCUAAUACCGCAUACGUCCUACGGGUGAAAGCAGGGGAUCUUCGGACCUUGCGCGAUUGAAUGAGCCGAUGUCGGAUUAGCUAGUUGGCGGGGUAAAGGCCCACCAAGGCGACGAUCCGUAGCUGGUCUGAGAGGAUGAUCAGCCACACUGGAACUGAGACACGGUCCAGACUCCUACGGGAGGCAGCAGUGGGGAAUAUUGGACAAUGGGCGCAAGCCUGAUCCAGCCAUACCGCGUGAGUGAUGAAGGCCUUCGGGUUGUAAAGCCCUUUUGUUGGGAAAGAAAAGCAGCAGGUUAAUACCCCGCUGUUCUGACGGUACCCAAAGAAUAAGCACCGGCUAACUUCGUG